UACGGGGGGGCAAGCGUUGUUCGGAAUUACUGGGCGUAAAGGGUUCGUAGGUGGCUUGUUAAGUCAGACGUGAAAUCCUCGGCUCAACCGGGAACUGCGUCUGAGACUGAUGAGCUCGAGUGCAGGAGAGGAACGCGGAAUUCCAGGUGUAGCGGUGAAAUGCGUAGAUAUCUGGAGGAACACCGGUGGCGAAGGCGGCGUUCUGGACUGCAACUGACACUGAGGAACGAAAGCCAGGGAGCAAACGGG
rnacentral:rRNA from 1 species